CCCCUGGUGGUCUAGUGGUUAUGACUUGGUGCUUUCACCACUGUGGUCUGGGUUCAAUUCCUGGUCUGGGAA
rfam:Sus scrofa chromosome 15.